rnacentral:lncRNA from 1 species
CCUGGUGCUGGAGGAAAAAGGCUUCAUCAACGUGUCCAUUUAAUCAGGUAGUCUGCAGUUGACACCAACACAAGAUUCCCUUUGUUGUCUCUGUUUUUAACUCUGACCCAGGGGUUUUUGAUCAUGACUGUUCUUCAGGGACAGUUCUUCACACUCUGUCCCUUUAUAUAGGGGGUAACACCUUAUCCCCUCCUUCCUUGCCUGCACAGAUUCCUUGAUGAAUUCGUACAGUCUGGUACUGAUGAUUUCUUUGUCCUUCAUGUUCCUGGAAAUAUUUUCCAAACUUAGCUCUUCUAUUUCCUUUACUGGGAUCAAGGUGGCUUGCAGUCCCCUGGGUCUUCCUUCAUUCCCUUCUAGAAAAAAGGAGUCAUAUUUUCUUUCCUCCAGUCUUCAGGUACUAUUCUCAAUUGCCACAGUCAAGCAAAGAUUUUUGAGAGAGGUCUAAUAAUCACAUCUGCCAACUCCUUCAGCAGUCCUAGGUGCCUUCCAUCAGGGCCUGAUGGAAAAAAAAAAAAAAAAAAAAAAAAAAAAAAAAAAAAAAAAAAAAAAAAAAAAAAAAAAAGUAAAAAAAAAAAAAAAAAAAAAAAAAAAAAAAAAAAAAAAAAAAAAAAAAAAAAAAAAAAAAAAACCCUUCCCUCUAACACCUAAUUUAAAUUUCCCCUCUUUUAGUUUAAAAUCAUUCCUAUUGCUCUCUACCCUUGUAGAGAAUUUAUUUCCCUCAAAAACAAAUGUUUUGUCUCAAGUUGUUUUUGAGCAUUACUGAUUGCAGAAACUUUGGGAGUAGAAAUGGAUGCUUGAUGAACAUUUGAUCAGAGCUUUUAUGUCAUUGUAUAUCUCUGCAGUUCAAAAUAUUUUCUCAUUGAAUAUGGAACUGAUUGGAAGACACAUGCUGUCACAAUAAGUAUAAAUAUUACCUUUAAUUUUAAAACUACAUACCGUGUCAUUUAGUAAGAGCCAGGUGAAGAUACUGAAUAAAAGGCUAAUCUGUUAGGUUGCUAAGAGUAGUUGAGCACGAACAAUGGGAACGAUAUGGGGCCAUUAGUUAGGGGUGGGGUUUGGGGCGAAGAAUAGGUGUGGAAUAUUGCACUGGUGUCCACAGUUUACGGGUUGGUCCGGCCCGGUUUCGUGACUAGUGGGGCAGAGGGAUUUCUUUUCCAAAAUCCGCACCUCCGGAAAAGGGAAACAGGGGACCCCCCC